rnacentral:rRNA from 1 species
GACGAACGCUGGCGGCGUGCUUAACACAUGCAAGUCGAACGGAAAGGCCCUGCUUUUGUGGGGUGCUCGAGUGGCGAACGGGUGAGUAACACGUGAGUAACCUGCCCUUGACUGUGGGAUAACUUCAGGAAACUGGGGCUAAUACCGGAUAGGAGCUCCUGCUGCAUGGUGGGGGUUGGAAAGUUUCGGCGGUUGGGGAUGGACUCGCGGCUUAUCAGCUUGUUGGGGGGGUAGUGGCUUACCAAGGCUUUGACGGGUAGCCGGCCUGAGAGGGUGACCGGCCACCUUGGGACUGAGGUACGGCCCAGACUCCUACUGGAGGCAGCAGUGGGGAAUCUUGCACAAUGGGCGGAAGCCUGAUGAAGAAGCGCCGCGUGCGGGAUGACGGCCUUCGGGUUGUAAACCGAUUUCGCCUGUGACGAAGCGUGAGUGACGGUAAUGGGUAAAGAAGCACCGGCUAACUACGUG